rnacentral:rRNA from 1 species
UACGGAGGGUGCAAGCGUUAAUCGGAAUUACUGGGCGUAAAGCGUGCGCAGGCGGUUUGUUAAGUCCGUUGUGAAAGCCCCGAGCUCAACUUGGGAAUUGCAGUGGAUACUGGCAGGCUGGAGUACGGUAGAGGAAGGUGGAAUUCCCGGUGUAGCAGUGAAAUGCGUAGAUAUCGGGAGGAACACCAGUGGCGAAAGGCGGCCUCUGGACC